rnacentral:lncRNA from 1 species
ACGAAAAAAGGUCAACCAGGUUAUGUACCUAGCGGCAAGUAUCAUAUACCCUACUUGCUCAGGUCGUCUCAUCGUUGUGCCGCACGAAUCGACUCAGCCGUGCUAAUAAAGUAGCACAAUAGUACCCCCUAAUGGGAAGUACUCUGUCGUAGUUCCCAACCGUAAGGUAAGUUCUACGCGUACACCGACACGUGUAGUUUCAUGACCUAAUGAGAAAAAAUAUCCAAGGUCAAUCUCGGUGAACUUAAGUAACUCCCAAAACCUUUACAUUAAUCAAUGACAAUGUUUAUAGCCAAAUAAACUAUUUGAAAAUAGUUAAAUCCAAGAUAUUUCACAACUCAUGUAUUUCUAUUUCAAAAAUACUACAAAUGCUAUUCUUUAUUUUAGUUUUUAAAAAAAAAAUUGAAUAACAUUUCAAGAAAAUAAUAUUCAUAGAACUUAAAUCUUUUAUGAUGCAAGAAAUGAUAUAAUCCCAACUCGCUCGUCCCCACAAGCUAGGACUCACAUUUAGAAACUCAAUUUAAUCGUGUUUCGAUAUGAGUUUGGAGAAAAGCUCCGAGGGUAAUAAGUUUCAACGUACCUCAAAUAGUUUUCAACCUUACCCCAAAUGAUCCAAUAAUGCCGACGAGUCACAAUCUACAUAUAUGAACUCACAUAAUUGAAUAGCGCGUCACAACAAUGCCAACUAAGCCAACUAAUUGUCUAACACUUAAGUCCAACUUAAUAAGUUUAUCAAAAAUCCACAUUUCAUCAUUUGAAGGUCAAUCCUUGAAUUAUAACUUCAACUCAUUCAUUAAACUUGUUAUUGGAUCUAGUCGUUCCACUAGAAACUUAAAAUAACAUCGUUCAAGCAAGACCCAACACUAUUCAUCAUCCAUACCAAUCAACUCUUCUAGGAUUUCAUGAAUAGAUAUUUAAAUAUAAAUUUAUCUUCAUAAAAAUACUCUACUACGUCCAUGGAGUAUAAUAUAUAAGUUUGGAGUGAAGAAAUUACUUCUUUGUCAAACCCUAAAAAUUUCAAGAUUUGUGUUCUUGAAGUGCUCUUGAGAUUUUCUUCAAAUAUCUAUAAUUUUUGUGUAAUUGAAGAGUUAAGAGAUGUAUUUAAUAGACCAAAUCUACCAAGAAAGACAUUAAAUUCUUACCUUGAAGAAGUAUUAAUGGUAGAGAGCUCCCUUCUCUCUUUAAGUCUUUAAGAACCAACUCCCAAAUAAUAGCACAACCCUUCCCGUAAUAGCCUUUAAAGACAUUCAGCAGACUGCAGCCAUAAAGGAUGCGUCCCCGUCUACAUCGCGCUCGUCCUUCUCAUUCAGCAAAUUUGGACGUGAGGUUUGACGCUUUCAAUGCAGUUCACUGCCACUGCGUGAUGAGCUUUGCCUCAUUUCAUUUAUUUAGCAAUUAUGUCCAUCUCAUGCUUUAGAAUUUUUUAAUCUUUUCACCAUCAUCUGCCACCACUACAACAUUUGUUCAUUUGUAUAUUAUUCAAUUUCAUGGCAUUUAAUAAUUAAUUCCUUGGGUCCCAUAAUGUGUAUCUAUCCCAGCCCCUCCAAAAUUCAAAAUAUUCGUCGAAACCUUCAUCUUUGUGACAUUAAUAAUUUCCUUUCAAGAGUUGUUAAUAAGCUUUUUAAUUACCAUUAAUCAAACACUCAUUCUUUGAUAAAAAUAAUUAUUUUUAAGUAUCUCAAUAGCUUUGUUCUACUCAAUUAAUUCAUGUAACUUGGGUUUGAUCAAAUUACAUCCUUAAGCUCAAAUUAAAUCCAAAUUAUUCAUAGAAGUUAUGGGGCUUUAUAAAGACUCUUUCGAGUUGUGUAUUACCUUUUUUAAGCCAUAACAAAAGGAAUUCCAAUGAUUGAUUGGCCAACCUUAGGUCCGGCCAAUUAUAAAAUUUUAUUAGCCAACAACUUCUAACGAGCUUAAAAUAAUCUCCGUCAUGAUGGCGAGAAUCACUUCAAAUAUGAUACUUUACUUCAUUGUCUUGGGCUGGGUGCGAGUUUGUCCCCUAAUAUUUUUGAAAGAGUAAAAGACACGAAGAUAAAUGAUCGAGAGGUCAGAGGAUUGCAGUUGAUAAGCUGGUCAAAUUGUGCAAAAGCUGGAUACGAUAGGAAACACACACUGAUCUUUGACCAUAAUUGAGUUAUAUUAUUACUAAAAAAAUUCUAGUGGGUCCUCAAGUUGGGUUUAACAACCGUAUAUCCUAAACUACGGUAACAUGCACUGCAAAAUUUCUAUUUCUGAUUAGAGAAACUAGAGAUGUUAAAAUUCGUGACGCUAAUCUUCAAUUUUUAAAUCUUGCUCGUUCUGGAUAAACUUAAGGCUCAUAGAAACGAACGAGAAAGAAAUAAAGCAAAUAUAUGACAGAAACUCCAAAGAUCUAAACAUGGGCUGUUGGAAUACCACGAAUUGAUAUGACCGUAUUCAAAAUUACUGCAUACAUUGGAAGAAAUGUUCUACUGAGAAAAAAAAAUAAUGUACGAUACAACAACAUACAAAUUAAAAAUAAAUUUCGUACAAAUUUUAUGUAAAUUUGAAUAUUUACAACUACAUACAUAGUAAAAACAAAUCUUAUACAACUAAUUAUAUAAUAUAUAAUUUAUUUUAAACUUAUCUACAACUUUCAUAUAUUAUUUCUACACAGUUAAGUACAACUACAACAUCAUACAACUUAAAUAUAAUUUUCAUAUAAAUUUUAUACAAUAUGUUUUCUGUAUAUAUUUUUUAUAUGAUUUGUAUAUAUUUUAUAAGUGGUGUGUUCUUCUUCCUCUCUGAAAUUUCAGUCAAAACUUUAUCUCUUAAAACAAAUUUGAUAUAUAUCAAUAACUAUAAAAAGAUAGUAUUUAUAAAUUAAAUACAAAUUUAAUACAACGAUUCAUACAUUAUACGACUAUUUUUCAAAACUUUCAUACAAUAUUCAAAUAAAAAUAUAUAUAAUUACAACAUAAUACAACUUAAAUACAAUUUACAUACAACUUUAAUAUAAUUUCGUAAAUAUAUUGUAUGUUGUGUUCUUUUUUUUCGAGUUUCAAUCUAAAAUUCAUCCAAAAUCAAAACUAAUAUUCACUAAACACCCUCAAAAUUGAGAUAUAAACUAAAAAAAAUAUUUUCAAUUAUUUACAACACCACCCAAUCCAAACAAACAAUAGUUUUUGAAAACCCAAAUUCGAAUUCAAAGCUUCAGAGCUUUUUAAUGGCUGUCAAUGGUGGAGAAUCAAAUACCUUCAAAAUUUAUUGAUUUACAAUUUCAAUUCGAACAUCAAUUGUGCAACAUGAAAGGAAAUUGCUAAGUUAAAACUCUAUAUUAUAACAAUUGAAAUUCAUUGAUGAAUUUUCUGAGGAAAAAAAAGGACGAAAGCAGAAAAAAAUGAAGGAAGAAAAUUGGAGAAACAAAGGAGAGAAAGAGAGCAUGGAUGAGGAUUCCCUAUUCAAUUCCUAAUAUAAAGAGAUAAUAAUUUAAAACUAAUUUGUAUAGAAUUGGUAAAUUGUAUAUGCAUGUGUACGGCCAAAACCGAUUUGAGUCAGUCGUACGGACUGGUCGAGAUGAUAAUGUUUCGAUCAAAAUAUAUCCGCAUGACAAGCUCGGUCAAGGUCCGAAGUAGGGGCGGCGAGCUUCGAGCUCUAAGACCGAUCAAUGACAAGCUCGAUAUUAUUAUCGAGCUCAUAUCCAAAUCGAACUACGAGGCAAAACGGAGAUUAUCGAAGAUGCAUGGACCAACCAACACUCACCCCCGAAUACCGAGAUCCCAAGUCAGAAUCGAGCUCGGACCAAGACCGAAGGCUCGAUCCAAUACCGAGCUCGAGCCAGUAUCGAGCUCGCAGACUAGGGCCGUUGCAACAGCACUAUGGGAGAGAAUCUUGACGGAAAUCGAGGAAAAGACAAUACAUCAUGGGCUCUCCACUACGUAUUUUUUAUUGUAUAUAAAGUAGGUUCCCUCUACUAUAAGAGGGACAUGGAUUGUAAGCAAGCGGAGGACACUGGGACAAAAGAUCACUUCUCACACUAAAAGAUAUCCCCCUGUGCUUGUUUUACUUUAUCUUAUUCAUUCCUUUUACUUACUAUUCUUAUUCUCAUAGUCAAGAAUAUACAUAUUCUAUUUUUCUAUACGAUUUAUAUCAAAUUGUAUCGCAUAUCCUUAGAACCAUAAACAAAUCUAACGUUAUCCGAUUUUUCGGAUAAACAGUGCCUAUGUAAUUAAGUUAAAACUUGAUUAAGGAGAGUAAUAAAGUUUCAUAUAUAGUAUAGGAAGGUAAAAUUAUAUUGCAAAGCUACCUUAAUCCAGAUUUCAAGUGCUGAAAACUCUGCAACUUUUUUAGUUAUGAAAGGAAUACUUUUGGUGACAAUCUGGUGCGUACUUCGGUGAGUGAAUAUAAUUUUGGAUGCAUAUAGAUUUGGGUUGGGAGAGUUGGAGUUUACAAGGCCCAGNNNNNNNNNNNNNNNNNNNNNNNNNNNNNNNNNNNNNNNNNNNNNNNNNNNNNNNNNNNNNNNNNNNNNNNNNNNNNNNNNNNNNNNNNNNNNNNNNNNNNNNNNNNNNNNNNNNNNNNNNNNNNNNNNNNNNNNNNNNNNNNNNNNNNNNNNNNNNNNNNNNNNNNNNNNNNNNNNNNNNNNNNNNNNNNNNNNNNNNNNNNNNNNNNNNNNNNNNNNNNNNNNNNNNNNNNNNNNNNNNNNNNNNNNNNNNNNNNNNNNNNNNNNNNNNNNNNNNNNNNNNNNNNNNNNNNNNNNNNNNNNNNNNNNNNNNNNNNNNNNNNNNNNNNNNNNNNNNNNNNNNNNNNNNNNNNNNNNNNNNNNNNNNNNNNNNNNNNNNNNNNNNNNNNNNNNNNNNNNNNNNNNNNNNNNNNNNNNNNNNNNNNNNNNNNNNNNNNNNNNNNNNNNNNNNNNNNNNNAUUAUUUUGGGUGGCGCGACUAUACUGCGUAAAAAUCCCUAACUUCUUAAUUAUCUUUGAGCCAUAUCCCGUACCCAUGUUGAACAGUUGAUAUUAGACUCCAUGUAUAUACCCAUCGUGUAAUGACAGUGUGCCUUCACCCCAUGAUCUUAGUGCUCCGAUUGCGCCUUCUGUAUCUGUAACUCGGCAACUGAAGCAUGGAGGAGAAGAGCCGGAAAGGGCGAAACCUCUCUUUUCAUGUAUACAUGCAUAUACACAUAUGUUUGACAACGUAAAUUGUUCAAUAGGUCAAAUCUAGCGUUAAAGUGACUAAAAAAUUGACAACUUCAAGGGGUCGUUAUGCAUUCUGCCUAUACAUGUUUGUUUACCCGAAAAAUAGAAAGUGUUGGAUUUAUACAUAGUUCUAAGGAUACGCGGUAUAACUUGACGCAAAUCGUAUAAGCGAAAAUAUCGAAUAUUGACUAUCAAGAAUGAAAAUACAAACAAGGUUGGAGGGAGGAUGAUUUAUGAGUAAGCAAGAUGAAAAAAGUGUAUAAAGCUCAAAAUGAUAAUCUCUCAAUAUGGAGCAUAUGCACAGUAUCUGAGUUAUGGUGUCUUAAUGUCCCCUUACAGAGAUAAUAGACAUCCCUCUUAUAGCGGGGAAUCCUACUUUAGAUAUAAUUAAAAAUACACAGUGGGAAACCAUGAUAAAUCAACUUUUCCUUUUUUCCUGCCGAGAUUCUCUCCUUUAGUGCGGCUGCAACGGCUCUUGUCUAUAGGCUCGAUAUUGACUUAAGCUCGAUACUGAAUCAAGCUCGAUAUUGAUUCGAGCUCGAUUUUGACUCGGGGUCCGGUAUUGAUUUGGGCUCAGCAUUGGUCGGUCUUUGGCCCUCGAGCUCGAUAACAUUGCUUCAUAUCAUGGUUCGAUUUGGAUUCGAGUUCGGUAUUGAUCGGUCCCUAAAACUCGAAGUUAGGUAAGCCGGCUUCGGAUCUUAUCCCGAAAUUAUGAAAACGCUCUUUGGUCCAUUAUGUUCCCAUCUUGACCAGUCGUAUGAAGGCCAAAAUUAGUUUCGACCGUAUACAGAUAGUCCCCCCGUUUCUCGGGAAGGAUGUGGCGAGAAACGAUAUGAUUUCCCAAUGGCUCGAUCAGAUAUACACUGACGUUUGCAUCAAAUCCGACCAUGACAUAUGUGAUAGCUAUCCCGUCGGUUUCGUUUACCAAGGCAUUAAAUGCGUGUCAGACGGUCGUUGGUCACUGCUGAUAUUGAACUGUCAUUCCCCAAUCUAUAAAUAGCUUCUCUUUUUACCAUUCAUCACUUUUACAUCUCUAGUUUCUAAAUUUUCUAAGCUCUUUCUCGCAUCUUCUGAGUUUAUCUGCAAGCCUGUAAUUUUUAUUGCAAAAUCUUUCUUCUGUGAUUUUCACUGCAAAACCUUUCUUCAAAACACCACAUCUUUGUCAUCUAUUUCUAUUCUCGAUCUUCAAAACCAAAAUGGUGAAAACAUCAAAAACCGUUCCUCAAAAAGAAAAAGCUUCUUCUUCACAGCCCGUUACCGAUAAAACACCGGUGGAGCCACGACCUGAGGAGUAUGUUCCCGGGGCGUGUGUUCUUACCUCCGAUUUUAAGGUAGACAAAGGCUCGUUAGUUCCUGGCCGAUGCGAGCCAGUAUUGAGGUAUUUGUGUUCGAUAACUGAGGGGCAUCUCGAACAGAUAAGGAAAGAUUGCAACUGGGAGAACAAAGAAGUGGUAAUCCCGUCUCCCGAAGAAGAUAUUACUACUCAUGUGAAAGGGUUUUUAAGUGUGUAUUCUUACCCUUUCACGUUAGGUCCUCUCGACCCUGUUAUCAUUGAUUUUUGCCGUCAAUACCAAAUAACCCUAGGCCAAAUCCAUCCUUCUUCUUGGCGGAUCAUUAUUUUGAUCCGUUUCUUUAUGAACAAAAUCGAGGGGAUGCCUUUCACCCUCGACUACCUCAUUCGAUUGUACAGCCCCCGCCUCUUUCGAGGCAGGUUAAUAAACCUUCAGUGUUGGGCUACCAAGGUUCUGUUCUCGAGCAUAGAUGAGGACAAGGAUCGAGGCUAGAUGGGUAGGUUCGUUCGAGUGAAGACUUCAGACCUAAUACCGGCCGAGAAUAUGCCAUUUCCCGAGAAGUGGAACAUGAAGCGUAAGUGUAACUCCGUUGUUAUCUCCUAUUUUUUGCCCCUUCGUUUCUUUCUCACUGAUAUUCCCUUUUUGUGAUGCAGCGGUUCCUUGGAUGCCCGGUGCAGUUCCUGACCUUAAGAACUGGGUACGACACCUGGCUUCGACCUCUACAUAUGUCGAGCGCUCAUGGCGUGAUUUGUCAAAGGGCCGAUGGGAGGCUAAAAAUCAUGGUAAGCCUCUUUCUCGUAUCUUUGAUAAUUCGAAUGAAAUGUUUUCCAUACAUCUAAUCAAUUCUCUUGUAUGUAGGCUUGGGCAAAGAUGCGGUUUUGAGGCCCCCGUCUAUCAAGCCAAUGCUGAAGCCGCUCAGGUACAAGCAAGAGAGGCAGCCGAGACCGCUAAAUCUCGAGCAUAUUGGGUUGCUGAACUUGCCAAAUGUCGAUCUCGGAGGGAGACCCUCGAGGAGAUCCAUUCUCGAGGCUUCGAUCUCACCGAAGAGAUAAAAAGGGCCAAAGAGCUCGAAGCCGAUGCUGAAGCAUUAGCUUCCGAUGAUGACGAUGGUGAUGAUGGGAGCAAGAGUGGGUCUGAGAGCGGGGAGGAGACCGAUGGAGAAGAGACCGUCCCCGGAGAUAACCAGGAGACUUAGAGUUUUUUCUGUUUUUGUGUAGGGUCCUGUUCGGACGUUGUAAAUACUUUUGUAUAUAUAUAAAGAUCUUUUCCUUUCCCGAUUUGUCUUUGUCUUAUUUUCUGCCUUGUGAAGGUCUUGUUUCGUUCAUGCCUUAUGAAAGUUUUCAUAAGCUCGAGGCUUUAGGCAAUUUGAUCGAAUUCAGACUUUUUAGUCUUUAUAACCGAGUGAGUGCUUGCUCGAACUCGAAGUAAGAGUAUCCCUUAGGCUUAAUAAUCGAGUGAGUUGAUUGCUCGAACUCUAAGUAAUGUAGCCCGUAGGCUUAAUGGUCGAGUGAGUUGAUUGCUCGAACUCGAAGUAAUGUAGCAUGUAGGCUUAAUAGUCGUGAGUGAUUUCUCGAACUCGAAGUAAGGUAGCCCGUAGGCUUAAUAGUCGAGUGAAUUGAUUGCUCGAACUCGAAGUAAUGUAUCCCAUAGGUUUAAUGGUCGAGUGAGUUGAUUGCUCGAACUCGAAGUAAUAUAGCCCGUAGGCUUAAUGAUCGAGUGAUUUGAUUGCUCGAACUCGAAGUAAUGUAGCCCGUAGGCUUAAUAGUCGAGUGAGUUGAUUGCUCGAACUCGAAGUAAUGUUGCCCGUAGGCUUAAUGGUCGAGUGAGUUGAUUGCUCGAACUUGAAGUAAUGUAGCACAUAGGCUUAAUGGUCGAGUGAGUUGAUUGCUCGAACUUGAAGUAAUGUAGCUCGUAGGCUUAAUGGUCGAGUGAGUUGAUUGCUCGGACUCAAAGUAAUGUAGCCUGUAGGCUUAAUGGUCGAGUGAGUUUUUUGCUCGAACUUGAAAUAAUGUAGCCCGUAAGCUUAAUAGUCGAGUGAGUUGAUUGCUCGAACUCGAAGUAAGAGAGGCCCUAAGGCUUAGUAGUCGAGCCUGGCCUCGUUGAUUUUUCGGUUGGCAGUCCCCGAUUAAUGGGGUAAUGGUCGAUCCUUGAGCAUGUUUGCAUAAUAGAUCAUGGAAUAGAGGAUGGGUUUUGAGACAUGAGAAAUCGGCAAAGAAGAAGUUUCUCAUUAUGUCAUUAUACAUGUGUUCAUGUUUUGUACUAGGGAUCGAUCAAACUGCACGAGCAUGGUUCGUAUUGACCAUUUGGCUCUUAUAAUUUUUCCUAUCGAAACCCUGUUAUUAUGAAGUAACUUUCUGGCAUCAAAACUUGAUAAUCGAACUUACUUGAUAUAUUUGAGGGUAAUGCCCCCCAUUAUUCGAGGUUGAUUAUAAAGAGGCCUCGGAUACUGUUGAAUUGUUCUAAGUUAGUACGAUCAAUGGUUGCCUCAUUAAAAACCUUGCCGAAAAACCCAUUUGGGAUAAAACCGAUCUAAGAGAAAACGAGUGCAACACGUACUUUCAUGCCUAAGGAUUUGUGUUGAAUAACCCAUUCCUAUUCUUGGUUGAACUCUUGCAAGGGUUAAUUUCGAAAUAUAAACGAACAUGGGAGGGUCAUACCUUAACAGUAGUAUCAUUUUAGGUGUGACACGUUCCAAUUUCUUGGUAGUUGUUUGCCGUUUAUAACACCGAGCUUGUAGGAUCCUUUACCGACGAUUUCGAGCACCCGAUACGGCUCUUCCCAGUUUGGACCCAGUUUUCCUUCAUUUGGAUUUCAGGUGUUGAGGGUGACUUUCCUUAGCACUAAGUCCCCGAUUUUAAAAUGUCGAAGAUUGGUUCUUCGAUUAUACUAUCUUUCGAUCCGCUGUUUUUGGGCGGCCAAUCGGUCGAGAGAGGCUUCUCGAUGUUCAUCCAAUAAUUCGAGGCUAGUAUUCAUAGCCUCGUGAUUUGACUCUUCUGUUGUAUGUCGAAACCUCGCACUGGAUUCCCCGACUUCGACUUAAAUCAAGGCCUCAGAACCAUAUACUAAGGAGAACGGGGUUGCCCCCGUACUGGAUUUUGACAUUGUUCGAUAUGCCCAAAGGACUUCGGGUAAAAUUGCUCUCCAUUUUCCCUUAGCGUCAUUUAACAUAUUCUUUAUGUUUUGAAUGAUAGUCUUGUUCGUCGAUUCUGCCUGUCCGUUCCCACUAGGGUGGUACGACAUUGUUAAUAUUCUUUUUAUUUUAUAGUCUUCGAGGAAUUUCGUCACCUUGCCGCCGAUAAAUUAUUUUCCACUGUCACACACUAUUUUGGCGGAUAUCCCAAAUCGACAUAGGAUGUGAUCCCAGAUGAAGUCUAUAACCUCUUUCUCUCACUUUCUCGAACGCCUGUGCUUCAACCCACUUAGAGAAAUAGUCAGUUAUAAAUAAAAUGAACUUAGCUUUACCAGGGGCCGAUGGCAGAGGGCCGACGAUGUCCAUCCCCCAUUUCAUGAAUGGCCAUGGGGAUAUGACUGAAUGAAGUUAUUCUCCGGGCUGAUGGAUCAUCGGUGCAAACCUUUGGCAUUUAUCGCAUUUUCGAACAAGCUCUUUAGUGUUUUUUCCAUGCUAUCCCAGUAGUAUCCUGCUCUAAUGAUUUUGUGAACCAGUGAUUCGGCGUUGGAGUGGUUCCCACAAGUGCCUUCAUGGACCUCUCGUAAAACGUAAUCGGUAUCUUCUGGUCCUAAGCAUACUGCCAAUGGUCCAUCGAAUGUCCUUCUGUAUAACAUUCCAUCUUCAGCCAAUAUGAAUCGAGCAGCUUUGGUUUGUAGGGUCCUCGACUCUUUAGGGUCUGAUGGGAGCUUUCCAUCCUUCAAGUAUUGAAUAUAUUUAUUCCUCUAAUCCAAGUUAAGCUUGUAGAGUUUAUCUCGGCAUGACCUUCUUCGAUCACGAAUUUCGAGAGUUGAACGAUAGUCCCCGAGCUGAUCUCAUCUUCCUCGACCGACGACCCCAAAUUUGCAAGUGCAUCGGCCUCAUUGUUUUGUUCUCGAGGUACAUGCUGUAAAGUCCAUUCUUUGAAAUGGUGCAAAGUUACCUGCAGUUUGUCCAAAUACCUUUGCAUUCUAUCCUCUCGAACUUCGAAAGUUUUGUUUACUUAGUUUACCGCUAGUAAAGAGUCACACUUGGCUUCAAUGACUUCUGCUCCCAAGCUUUUGGCUAGCUCGAGACCUGUAAUCAUGGCCUCGUACUCGACCUCAUUGUUAGUCAACCUAGAGGUUUUGAUAGAUUGCCUAAUAGUGCUACCCGUGGGCAUCUUAAAACGAUGCNNNNNNNNNNNNNNNNNNNNNNNNNGAGUUCCUUUUCAACUUUGGGCACGAAGGUUGGCGUGAAAUCGGCUACGAAGUCCGCUAAAAUUUGAGACUUGAUGGCCGUCCGGGGUUGAUAUUUGAUAUCAUACCCACUGAGUUCGACAGCCCAUUUGGCCAAUCGGGCCGAUAGUUCGGGCUUGUGCAAAAUAUUUCGAAGUGGGUAAGUGGUUAAUAUGCAUAUGGGGUGAGAUUGAAAGUAUGGUCUUAACUUUCUAGAGGUGCUUAUCAGUGCAAGUGCCAAUUUCUCUAAGUGUGGAUACCUUGUUUAUGCUUCCCCUAAGGUUUAACUUAUAUAAUAAACGGGAAAUUGCGUGCCUUGCUCUUCUCGAACUAGGACACUACUUACCGCUAUUUCCGAUACUGCCAAGUACAAGUAAAGUUUCUCAUCUGCCUUCGGAGUGUGAAGCAGUGGUGGGCUCGAUAGGUAUCGCUUCAAUUCUUCUAAUGCCUGUUGGCAUUCCGGGGUCCAGGCAAAAUCGUUCUUCUUUUUGAGUAGAGAGAAAAAUCAGUGGCUUUGAUCCGAAGACCUCAAAAUGAAUCGGCCUAAGGCAUCUAUCCGUCCGGUUAGCUUCUGUACGGCUUUCACACUGUCCACGACGGUGAUGUCUUCGAUGGCCUUAAUUUUAUCGGGGUUUAUCUUGAUCCCCCGAUUCGAUACCAUGAAGCCUAGGAACUUGCCCGAACCGACCCCGAAAGCACAUUUCUCGGGGUUGAGCUUCAUGUUGUAUUUCCUUAAAAUCUCGAACGUUUCCUGCAAAUAAACCAAAUGGUCCUCUGCACGCAAGGACUUAACUAGCAUGCCGUCAAUAUACACUUCUAUUGAUUUACCUAUUUGUUCUUCGAACAUUUUAUUUACUAGGCGUUGGUAAGUAGCUCCUGCAUUUUUUAGCCCGAAGGGCAUUACAUUAUAACAAUAGGUUCCAUACUUGGUGAUAAAUGAAGUCUUUUCUCGGUCCUCCGGGUUCAUUUGGAUUUGAUUGUACCCGGAAUAGGCAUCGAGAAAAGUAAGGAUCUCGUGGACGACUGUGGCAUCGAUCAUGCGAUCGAUGUUAGGCAGUUGGAAAGAAUCUUUGGGGCAUGCCUUGUUUAAAUCUUUAUAAUCUACACACAUUCUAAAUUUGUUCCCUUUUUUAGGCACUACAACUACAUUGGCUAACCAUUCAGGAUAUUUCACCUCCCGAAUGGACCCUAUUUUGAGAAGUAAGUUACCUCAUCCUUUAUGAAUCCAUGCUUUAUUUCGAACUGGGGUCUCCUCUUUUGCUUCACCAUUUUGAACCCGGGGUCCAGGCGUAGCCGAUGCGUCGUUAUCUCUGGUGGGAUCCCUGUCAUGUCUAAAUGGGACCAAGCAAAACAAUCUAUGUUAUCAAUAAGAAAUUGGAUAAUCCUUUUCCUGAGUUCGGGGGUUAAUCUCGUUCCCAGGUAUACUUUUCGCUCGGGAAGGUACUCGAUCAAUAUAACCUGUUCCAGCUCUUCGACCGUUGAUUUGGUGGCGUCGGAACCUUCGGGAACAAUAAAAGUUUGAGGGGGUCAGAAAAUCCUCCUCUUCUUCUUCUAUCUCCUGCUUCCCUGAUUCGGUCGAGGCUGAUGGUUGUGAUUGCUAUUUGACUUCCUCUUUACCUUUGAUGCUCGACCUCUCCGAGGUUGACGGUGUCGAUAUAGGUGUUACCUCAUCGACUGCAAACAUUUCCUUCGUAACAUGCUGCUCCCCGUAUACUGUUUUUACACCGUCCGAUAUCGGGAAUUUCAUUACUUGGUGGAGGGUCAAAGGGACUUCCCUCAUAUUGUGGAUCCAAGGCCUUCCAAGCAGGGCAUUGUACCUCAUGUCACCCUCGAUUACGUGGAACUUGGUAUCUUGAAUUGUUCCAGCCACGUUCUCCGGUAGAAUAAUCUCCCCUUUAGUUGUUUCACUGGCCAUAUUGAAGCCGUUUAAAACCCGAGCUGCGGGCACGAUUUGAUUCUGUAGGUCAAGCUGUUCCACGACCCUCGAUCGGAUGAUAUUCGCUGAACUACCUGGAUCCACUAAAACACACUUAACCUGAACUUUAUUUAAUAAGAUAGAAAUUACCAGAGCAUCGUUGUGGGGCUGAGAAAUGCCUCUUGCUUCUUUGUUGUUGAAUGACAAAGUGCCUUCGGGCGCAUAAUCUCGGGUUCAUUUUUCCCUAGUGGUUGAUACCUUAGUAUGUUUGAACAUGGGUCCCUGUGGAAUGUCGACCCCACCAAUGAUCAUAUGAAUGACAUAUUAGGGUUCCUCCUGUUCAUUUUUUCUGUUGGCGUCCCUUUCUCUAAAAUGAUUCUUGGCUCGAUUGUUGAGGAACUCUCGAAGGUGGCCCUCGUUAAAUAGACGGGCUACCUCCUCUCUUAAUUGUCUACAAUCCUCAGUCUUGUGACCAUGCGUGCCAUGGUACUUGCACAUCAAAUUCGGGUUUUUUUGGGAAGGAUCGGUCUGUAUGGGUCUGGGCCACCUAGUAUCUUUGAUCCUUCCGAUUGCCAAUACAAUGCCCGAUGCAUCGAUGCUAAAAUUAUAUUCCGAUAACCGAGGUGCCUCUGUGGGAUCGACAUACUUGUCAAAAUCACUUCUGCUCAUAAGUCCCCGAGAACUCUGUCCUCGAUCACUUCUUCGAUUGUUCCGGGCGGAAUUGCGUCCUGAACCAUUGUUCCUUCGAUCUACAUUAUAUGGUUGAUAUCGGUCUCUGGUCGACCUUGGCUCCAUGUUGAUGUCCUUCUGGUUCUUAACUACCGACCUAUUUGGAUGUACUGAACCGGAAGGGGCUCUUAGUUGGUCGUCCUCGACCCUGAUCUUCGAUUGAUAUCGAUUGUGCACAUCUGCCCAGGUCACGGCCGGAUAUUCGAUCAAACUUUGUUUCAACUGACAUGAUGCUAUCGAACUCCGCUCGUUCAACCCUUGGGUGAAAGCUUGAACGGCCCAAUCCUCUAUGAUCGGUGGCAAUUCCAUGCGUUCUAAUUGAAAUCGGGACACGAACUCCCUCAGCAUUUCAUUAUCCCUUUGCCUUACCUUGAAAAGGUCUGAUUUCCUCGUUGCGACCUUUAUGGCCCCUGCGUGUGCCUUUACGAAAGAAUCUGCUAACAUGGAGAAUGGGUUGAUGGAAUUUGGUGGCAGGUUGUGAUACCAAAUCAUUGCUCCCUUCGAAAGGGUCUCUCCGAAUAUUUUCAACAGCACAAAUUCGAUUUCGUCAUCUUCUAAAACAUUACCCUUUAUGGCACACGUGUAAGAGGUGACGUGUUCAUUAGGGUCGGUCGUCCCAUUAUAUUUAGGAAUAUCGAGCAUGCGGAAUAUUUUGGGGAUCGGUUUUGGAGCUGCACUCGGGGGAAAAGGCUUUUGCACGAAUUGUUUGGAAUCCAACCCUUUCAACAUUGGUGGUGCCCCGGGAUUUGAUCGACCCUUGAGUUAUAUGUUUUCACUUUUUUAUCAUUUGCUUCGAUCCGUUUUGUGAGUUCCUCGCGUAUCUUAGCAAUUUCGGGAUUAGUCCCUGAUUCUUGCUCAUUUGACCUUACUAUAGCUAGCUCCGUUCUGUGGGUGAUUUCUCGGGGUUGAUUGGGCUCCGGUCUACUCGGUACCUGGGUUUGACUCUACAACUGAACUAUCGCUACCUGUUGAGCUUGUAACAUUUCGAAAAUCAUACGCAAGCUGAUUCUGUUUUCCUCAACGUUAUGGGUGUCUCGAGCUGUAGAUCGAGUACUACCAUGAAUGCUAUUUUCAGGUUUAGAACGUUAGUUUGCCUCAAUAGCCACAUGCGAAUUAACGUCUAAUAGUACUUCGACUCGGCCCCAACGGCAUCGAACUCGGCCCCAACGGCAUCGACAAGCGGCCUUUCGGCCCUGGGCGUCAAGUUGUUAUUCUCACCUUGAAGGCCAGCUUCGUUGUCGAUAGUAAGGCCAUUAAUUGAGAGUUCGUUGGGUCUAAUCCGAAAUCAAAGACACUUUCAAUGACAAGCGUAAAAUGGUGUGUUUUGCAGAUUUGUAUCAAAUAACCACUGUUAUCCUUAGCCCCACGGUGGACGCCAAACUGUUUACCCGAAAAACGGAUAGUAUUGAAUUUAUACGUAGUUCUAAGGGUACGCGGUAUAACUUAACGCAAAUCGUAUAAGCGAAAAUAUCGAAUAUUGACUAUCAAGAAUGAAAAUACAAACAAGGUUGGAGGGAUGAUGAUUUAUGAGUAAGCAAGAUGAAAAUAAUGUAUAAAGCGCAAAAUGAUAAUCUCUCAAUAUGGAGCAUAUGCCCAUUAUCUGAGUUAUGAUGUCUUAAUGUCCCCUUAGAGAGAUAAUAGCCAUCCCUCUUAUAGCGAAAAAUCCUACUUUAGAUAUAAUUAAAAAUACAUAGUGGGGAACCAUGAUAUAUCAACUUUUUCCUUUUUCCUGCAGAGAUUCUCUCCUUUAGUGCGUCUGUAUCGGCUCUUGUCUAUAGGCUCGAUAUUGACUUAAGCUCGAUACUGAAUCGAGCUCGAUUUUGACUCGGGGCCCGGUAUUGAUUCGGGCUCAGCAUUGGUCGGUCUUUGGCUCUCGAGCUCGAUAACAUUGCUUCGCAUCAUGGUUUGAUUUGGAUUCGAGCUCGAUAAUGACUUCGAGCUCGGUAUUGAUCGGUCCCUAAAACUCGAAGCUAGGUAACUCGGCUUCGGAUCUUGUCCCGAAAUUAUGAAUACGCUCUUCGGUCCAUUAUGUUCUCAUCUCGAUCAACCGUAUACAAUGUUUUCAAGGUUUUUUCAACCAUAUGUGUGCGUAAGCGCCUGUUUGUUUCGAAAACAAGGUGCAAAAAGUUUAUCAAAAAUCCUUUCAAGGUUGAAAUUGUGUUUAUUGAUAGUAGUUUGCAAGAAAUAACCAACAACAACAACAAAAAGAAUCUCCACCUUGUUUUGGGAACAAACUUGGACAGCUUAAACUUUGUGAAGUGUAUAAAACUUGACACUUGACACUUGACACUUGACACGAAGUGUUUCUUCUUAGUUUUCGUAAGUAUUUAUUUUCCUGUUAAACACACUUUUAUGCAAGAACAUGAUUUUCCUUUGCUAAUACUAUUGUCUCAUGAAUUUUACCUUUUUAUCAUCUUCUUCACAUCCAUUCGCCCAAAGAAGUGUGGAAAAGAAAUAAUUUAAUUCUUGCCACUUUUCACUUUUCGGAAUUGUACGAAAAAUAGUUUGCUUCCACAAAAGCAAUGAAAUGGCUAUCAUGAAUGUGCGCAAUUGUUGGUGAAACCAUCAAGUGUACUAUUGGAUUGGACAUUUGCCACUCUCAACUUUCUAUAUAAGAAGAGCUUGCCUAUAAAGAUUUGAUCAUGAAGUCAUAUCUUUCCUAAAAUUUAUCCCACACGUCAUGCUCCCUUGGAUCCUCAGGACCCUCCACGAAAAAAAGCAGGUGAGGCCCCAAUUCUUGAUCGGAGGGGACAUCAAAGGACUCUGCCCUUCCAUCCAUCGGAUAGAUAGAGAGGGAUGGCAGAGCUUUUGAUUUUUUUAUGUUGUUAAAGAGUUGAACAAUGAUUUUUUUAGUAUUGUCAAAGAUUUGAACAAUGAAAAUAGAUAGCGAGUGUUUGAUCGAAUUGAUUAUGUUUAAUGAUCUUGAACAUGAAUGGUCUUGAUUUUUUUAUCCUUACUUGCCUCAUGAGCAAAUCUUUAAGGUCAACAGUCAAAAAUAUUGUUCAUCGGGCAAAGAAAGACAAUACUCGUUAAACUUAAAGUUAUGUUCAUGAAACAAGCAUGGUUAGAAAAUUAAAAUCGCUCACUUCCAAGGCCAUUCUUGUGAAUUAUCCCAUAAAAAGGUUGUUGAAACAAGAAUGAGGCCGAUCAACUUUUGCCUUAACAUGGAUUACAAUGCCCUUUUGUUAUUUUUGCACUCAGUUUCUUAAAAAGAAUCUCAUGUUUGGGAACCGUUUUAAAAUGGCCAUCCUAUCAUUUUUAUUUAUCCAGGAAUUGUAUUGCAUUAGCAGAUAUCAAUGUUCCAUUUAUAUAAGAACAAUGAACUUACUUACACGUUGAGCACAAACAGUGUCGUUUUUCUCCUUGUGCGCAACCUAAAAUAAUUCUUAUUGACAUGGCUCAGAACCACAGAUUGAGUAUUUUUAUUUCUUUUUCUUCGUGUGACUUUUAUUUCCUUAUGAAAAGUAACAUACAACUUAACAUCACGUAUCAAUAUCAU